GUCGUCAGCUCGUGUCGUGAGAUGUUGGGUUAAGUCCCGUAACGAGCGCAACCCUUGUCCUUAUUUGCCAGCGGGUCAUGCCGGGAACUCUAAGGAGACUGCCGGUGAUAAACCGGAGGAAGGUGGGGAUGACGUCAAGUCAUCAUGGCCCUUACGGGGUGGGCUACAAACGUGCUACAAUGGGGCGUACAAAGGGCUGCAAACCCGCGAGGGGGAGCGAAUCCCAAAAAACGUCUCGUAGUCCGGAUCGGAGUCUGCAACUCGACUCCGUGAAGUCGGAAUCGCUAGUAAUCGCGAAUCAGAAUGUCGCGGUGAAUACGUUCCCGGGCCUUGUACACACCGCCCGUCACGUCAUGGGAGUGAAUUGCACCAGAAGUAGCUAGUCUAACCUUCGGGAGGACGGUUACCACGGUGUGGUUCAUGACUGGGACGAAGUCGUAACAAGGUAGCCGUAGGGGAACCUGCGGCUGGAACACCUCCUUAAAA
rnacentral:rRNA from 1 species